CAUGCAAGUCGAGGGGCAGCGCGGGAUAGCAAUAUCCUGGCGGCGACCGGCGGAAGGGUGCGUAACGCGUGAGCGACAUGCCCGUUGCCCGGGGACAACCGGUGGAAACGCCGACUAAUCCCCGAUGGGAUACGAUGCUUCAUGGCAUUGUAUUGAAAGUUACGGCGGCGACGGAUUGGCUCGCGUCCGAUUAGCUUGUUGGCGGGGUAACGGCCCACCAAGGCUACGAUCGGUAGGGGUUCUGAGAGGAAGGCCCCCCACAAUGGGACUGAGACACGGCCCAUACUCCUACGGGAGGCAGCAGUGAGGAAUAUUGGUCAAUGGGCGGAAGCCUGAACCAGCCAUGCCGCGUGCGGGAAGGAGGCCCUAUGGGCUGUGAACCGCUUUUGCCUGGGGGCAAUAAGGGCGUCGCGCACGCCCGAUGAGAGUACCAGGCGAAUAAGCAUCGGCUAACUUCGUGCCAGCAGCCGCGGUAAUACGGGGGAUGCGAGCGUUAUCCGGAUUCAUUGGGUUUAAAGGGUGCGUAGGCUGUGCGUCAAGUCGGGGGUGAAAUUCCGGUGCUCAACACCGGGGCUGCCCUUGAUACUGUCGCGCUGGAGUGCGGAUGCCGCCGGAGGAAUGAGUGGUGUAGCGGUGAAAUGCUUAGAUAUCACUCAGAACACCGAUUGCGAAGGCAUCUGGCGAAUCCGUAACUGACGCUGAGGCACGAAAGCGUGGGGAUAGAACAGGAUUAGAUACCCUGGUAUUCCACGCCGUAAACGAUGAUGGCUA
rnacentral:rRNA from 1 species